UGGGGAAUUUUGGACAAUGGGCGAAAGCCUGAUCCAGCAAUGCCGCGUGUGUGAAGAAGGCCUUCGGGUUGUAAAGCACUUUUGUCCGGAAAGAAAUCCUUGGCUCUAAUACAGUCGGGGGAUGACGGUACCGGAAGAAUAAGCAUCCGGCUAACUACGUGCCAGCAGCCGCGGUAAUACGUAGGGUGCAAGCGUUAAUCGGAAUUACUGGGCGUAAAGCGUGCGCAGGCGGUUUGCUAAGACCGAUGUGAAAUCCCCGGGCUCAACCUGGGAACUGCAUUGGUGACUGGCAGGCUAGAGUAUGGCAGAGGGGGGUAGAAUUCCACGUGUAGCAGUGAAAUGCGUAGAGAUGUGGAGGAAUACCGAUGGCGAAGGCAGCCCCCUGGGCCAAUACUGACGCUCAUGCACGAAAGCGUGGGGAGCAAACAGGAUUAGAUACCCUGGUAGUCCACGCCCUAAACGAUGUCAACUAGUUGUUGGGGAUUCAUUUCCUUAGUAACGUAGCUAACGCGUGAAGUUGACCGCCUGGGGAGUACGGUCGCAAGAUU
rnacentral:rRNA from 1 species